UACGUAGGGGGCAAGCGUUGUCCGGAAUCAUUGGGCGUAAAGCGCGUGUAGGCGGCUUGAUAAGUCUGCUCUGAAAGCCCGGGGCUCAACCCUGGGAGGCGGGUGGAUACUGUCGAGCUCGAGUCCGGAAGAGGCGAGUGGAAUUCCUGGUGUAGCGGUGAAAUGCGCAGAUAUCAGGAGGAACACCAAUGGCGAAGGCAGCUCGCUGGGAGGGUACUGACGCUGAGACGCGAAAGCGUGGGAGCAAACAGG
rnacentral:rRNA from 1 species